UGUUAUCGAAUUUAUCGUAAUAUAGGGUAUGGAAAUUAAUAUUGGUCUCGUUUGAAGCGACGAAUCGCUGUUGUUCGAGAAACGGGUUUACGAAAAAAGAGACGUGAAAGAGAAAGGAGAGCAAGAAAAAGGUUGGGAUCACGGGGGGCAAAGAGAAAGUAAUCUCCUUUAAUAAUCUCGGCAUUCGGUCGUGAAUUUCGGUGUUAAUAAUAUUUCAAGAGAUCCGAAUCGAUAAGUAUAUAUUAAAAACUCGUGGCCACGGUUAUAUAUAUAUUUUUUCGAGGUUAAUUUUCGAAACAGGCUCGAAUCAAUUAUAUUCACGAUCCGUUAAUGCCUUUUCACGCGGGUAAACGCAAUUAAAAUUACACUUUAUCGUGUCGGAUAGCCCGACGUCGACGACGGUUUAAUUACGACACAUUCGAGUCGAUAAAAAAUGCAAAGAGGCAAAAUGGCGCGUCGUUCACCGUGAGACAGUUUCGACAUUAAACUUCAAUCUGACGACGAUAAAACUUUCAACGAAGCGACGAAGGAUCGCGAUUAAACGCAACAAUGUUGCUUUAAUGAGUUCUUUUUAAAAAUUUUAAUGAUACGGUUUAACG